rnacentral:rRNA from 1 species
CUUGGCUACAGGCUAGCUCAUGCGGUUCGCAGCGUGAACGCAGUUAUCUCGAACCUUCGGGGGACGAUAACGGCGUCGAGCGGCGGACGGGUGAGUAAUGCCUAGGAAAUUGCCCUGGUGUGGGGGAUAACCAUUGGAAACGAUGGCUAAUACCGCAUAAUACCUUCGGGUCAAAGAGGGGGACCUUCGGGCCUCUCGCGUCAGGAUAUGCCUAGGUGGGAUUAGCUAGUUGGUGAGGUAAUGGCUCACCAAGGCGACGAUCCCUAGCUGGUCUGAGAGGAUGAUCAGCCACACUGGAACUGAGACACGGUCCAGACUCCUACGGGAGGCAGCAGUGGGGAAUAUUGCACAAUGGGCGCAAGCCUGAUGCAGCCAUGCCGCGUGUGUGAAGAAGGCCUUCGGGUUGUAAAGCACUUUCAGUCGUGAGGAAGGUAGUGUAGUUAAUAGCUGCAUUAUUUGACGUUAGCGACAGAAGAAGCACCGGCUAACUCCGUGCCAGCAGCCGCGGUAAUACGGAGGGUGCGAGCGUUAAUCGGAAUUACUGGGCGUAAAGCGCAUGCAGGUGGUUUGUUAAGUCAGAUGUGAAAGCCCGGGGCUCAACCUCGGAAUAGCAUUUGAAACUGGCAGACUAGAGUACUGUAGAGGGGGGUAGAAUUUCAGGUGUAGCGGUGAAAUGCGUAGAGAUCUGAAGGAAUACCGGUGGCGAAGGCGG